CAAAGUUUGCGGUUUCCGUUGUCUGUGGGGGAAAGCUUUUGAGAGAGAAAGGGGAUUGAAGUUAAUCAAGUGGGAUUUUUUUGUGCUCGUGUGUGUGUAUAUAUAUAUAGAAGCGUGUAUUUAUGUGUGUCUAUGAUGGUGCAAGCGGGGUGUUCGCUUGUGUUAAUGUGAUGGUGGUGUGACUGAGGGAUGAAUUGCGAAAGACUAUCAUCACCUCUUCCGUUUUACAAUCAUCCCUGAGACUAUAUACUACUACUACUAUGCUGCUGGAAGGAUGGGGGGCCAAGGCCACCCAUGGUCUUACACUCGGUCCGCCCCUGCGUGCUCUUCAAUUUUGAUAAAUGUGUAGUACAUGAGGCCUGGUGCAUAUCCUUUAGGAGGUCUAGUUCGUCCCCCUCUCAUUGCAGGACCUUCCGCUGGUCACGGCAGAGGUGAAUACCGUCCAGCCGGAUCGAAAAAUGCUCCUACUAUGCAAAAAGGUCAUGGCAUGCCAGUUUGGGCCAACAAUACACCAGGACAUCGUUUCAGUAGGGGAUUGAAUUUCACACUUCCAUCUUACAAGACUGUAUUUGAAGUUGACACUGAUAGCUUCGAAGAAAAGCCUUGGAGACUCCCUGGUGUUGAUAUAUCAGAUUAUUUCAACUUUGAUCUAAAUGAGGAAGCCUGGAAAAAUUAUCUGGCAUGCUUGGUUUGAUGAUUCAGUUAUUACCUUCGCAGGACAAUUUACUAGAGCAUGAGCACUGAAUGCCAGCUGUUGCAAACUCUGAAGAAAGGGCUGAUUCGCAAGCCGUAAUUUAUGACUUGCGAGAGCACACCAAUCAAGAGCACACCAAGAACCAGGGCUUUCCGGUAAUCAGAUGAAGAUAUCAAAGAAUCGACAAUCCCUAUACUUAACAGACCAAUUAGUGCAAGUUUGCUCGACUCUGCUGAUUCUUCAAAGGCUUGCAUCUGGCUCUCAAGAUUCCCCAUUAUCUGCCAAUCAAGAAAUUAAAAACUCGAGUCAUUUCUAUUAUGGAAAUUUUUGAAGCAAGUAAUUAUCCAGAAUUAGAACACACCCUGGCACUGGUUUCUUCCAGUUCUUUAAGAGCUUCUUCUCCUAUCUGAUCAAUCUCAGCAUUAGCUUCUUCAGCAAACUGAGUUAGGUAAUCCGACCGCUCAUCCAAAAAACCAGUGAGACGAACUUUUUGAGUUUGAAGCAUUGCAAUUUUGGCAAGCAAUUCCUGCUUCUGCAAAUCCCCGUCAGGUGUUGGGGCAGCUGAAUCCGAAUCAUUCGACUUCGAGAGUAAGAUGAAAUUUUUCCUUUUAGCUGGUCUUCCUUUGUCAAAAAUACCAUGUUGGGUGGGAGUAAAGGAAGUGAUGCAUUUGAAUGCAAUCAUCUUUAUGAUUAUGUUUUGUAGAUAAGAGUGAGUUACAUGUCCUGGAAGCAGAAACUCAAGUGUUUUCAGCCUCUCAUCUGUGGUAUAGACUGUACAUUAUCUCAUCUGAGCAUUAUUAUUUAUUUUAUUUAUUUUUAUGAU